rnacentral:misc_RNA from 1 species
UCCGGCUUAUCACCGGCAGUUUCUUUAGAGUGCUCAACUAAAUGGUAGCAACUAAAGACGAGGGUUGCGCUCGUUGCGGGACUUAACCCAACAUCUCACGACACGAGCUGACGACAGCCAUGCAGCACCUGUGUUCCCGCCAGCCGAACUGAAGGACCCCGUCUCCGGGACCCAUACGGGACAUGUCAAGGGUUGGUAAGGUUCUUCGCGUUGCAUCGAAUUAAUCCACAUGCUCCGCCGCUUGUGCGGGCCCCCGUCAAUUUCUUUGAGUUUUAGCCUUGCGGUCGUACUCCCCAGGCGGAGAACUUAAUGCGUUAGCUGCGCCACCGAAAGCCGAAGGCCCCCGACAGCUAGUUCUCAUCGUUUACGGCGUGGACUAC